rnacentral:rRNA from 1 species
AACGAACGCUGGCGGCAGGCCUAACACAUGCAAGUCGAGCGCCCCGCAAGGGGAGCGGCGGACGGGUGAGUAACGCGUGGGAACGUGCCUCUUGCUACGGAAUAGCCUCGGGAAACUGGGAGUAAUACCGUAUGUGCCCUUCGGGGGAAAGAUUUAUCGGCAAGAGAUCGGCCCGCGUUGGAUUAGGUAGUUGGUGGGGUAAUGGCCUACCAAGCCGACGAUCCAUAGCUGGUUUGAGAGGAUGAUCAGCCACACGGGGACUGAGACACGGCCCAGACUCCUACGGGGGGCAGCAGUGGGGAAUCUUAGACAAUGGGCGCAAGCCUGAUCUAGCCAUGCCGCGUGAGCGAUGAAGGCCUUAGGGUUGUAAAGCUCUUUCAGGGGGGAAGAUAAUGACUGUACCCCCAGAAGAAGCCCCGGCUAACUCCGUGCCAGCCGCCGCCGUAA